UAGCCUUGGUGGGGGGCGCGGGCGAAGUUCGUCCGCCGGACUUGGAAUGGGGCGAGACUUUGCGAGGGGCCUCGGGGUGCCAAAAAUAAGCCGCGGGCAAAGCCGCUCCCAAAAAUAAGCGCCGGAAGGUCGUGGUGCCAAAACCCCCCAGCGGAAAAAUGGCCAAAAAACGGGUGGGCUAUAGCCUUGGUGGGGGGCGCGGGCGAAGUUCGUCCGCCGGACUCGGAAUGGGGUGAGACUUUGCGAGGGGCCUCGGGGUGCCUGCGGGAAGUCGCGGGCACAGCCACGUCCAAAAAUAAGCCCCCGAAGGUCGUGGUGCCAAAACCCCCCAGCGGAAAAAUGGCCAAAAAACGGGUGGGCUAUAGCCUUGGUGGGGGGCGCGGGCGAAGUUCGUCAUCCGGGACUUGGAAUGGGGCGAGACAUUGCGAGGGGCAUCGGGGUGCCAAGCGAGAAAGUCGCGGGCAACAGCCGCGUCCAGAAAUUAAGCGCCCGACGGGUCGUGGUGCCAAAACCCCCCCAGCGGAAAAAAUGGGCCAAAAAAACGGGUGGGCUAUAGCCCUUGGUGGGGGUGCGCGGGCGAAAGUUCGUCCCGCCCGGACUCGGAAUUGGGGCGAGACUUUUGCGAGGGGGCCUUCGGGGGUGCCAAAAAAUUAAGCCCGCGGGGCAAAAGCCCGCACCCCAAAAGGUCGUGGGUGCCAAAAACCCCCCCAGCGGGAAAAAAUGGGCCAAAAAAACGGGUGGGCUAUAGCGUUGGUGGGGGGCGCGGGCGAAGUUCGUCCGCCGGACUCGGAAUGGGGCGAGACUUUGCGCGGGGCCUCGGAGCGCCAAAAAUAAGCCGCGGGCAAAGCCGCGCCCAAAAAUAAGCGCCCGAAGGUCGUGGUGCCAAAACCCCCCAGCGGAAAAAUGGCCAAAAAACGGGUGGGCUAUAGCCUUGGUGGGGGGCGCGGGCGAAGUUCGUCCGCCGGACUCGGAAUGGGACGAGACUUUGCGAGGGGCCUCGGACUGCCCACGGGAAGUUGCGGGCACAGCCGCGUCCAAAAAUAAGCGCCCGAAGGUCGUGGUGCCAAAACCCCCCAGCGGAAAAAUAGCCAA
rnacentral:lncRNA from 1 species